CUGUUUUAUUCAGUGUUCUUAAAGGGUUACAUCAUCAUUAUUUUUUCUUUUUUAGAUUUUAAAGAAAAAAUAAGCCACUACUUUAGCAUUUCUCCCAAAAUGAUCACAUUCAUAUGAUAUUGUGUAUAUUAUUUAUUUGAGGAUGUUGCUUUGCCUUAAUUUGCAAGAAUUAAUAGAAAAUUUAUAAUUUUAGGGAAAAAAAUAUAACAAAGUCAUUGACUUUCAAAAAGUAGACAUCAUUUAAUUAUGUUACUUAAUGUGUUGGUAGAGAGAGAGGUGCAAAUCCCUCAGUCACCUAAAGAGCUACCACAUGAGGUCUAAUCACAAGACAGUGAGCAGUGGUAGGUGGGCAAGUGACUUGCAAAAUCUUAACAAAAUAGCCAAUGGCCAGCUUAAAAAAGUUAGAGCUUUAUACAACUCAGCUAGUUUUGUCUAGACGUUUCAAGUUAUUUUUUUUUAACACAACCCAAC